rnacentral:rRNA from 1 species
UUAGCAUGGAAUAAUGGAAUAGGAUGUGUGCCUCUAUUGGUCUUUUAGAGGCACCUUAAUGAGAAAUAGGGGCGGCUCGGGGGCAUUCGUAUUCAAUUGCUAGAGGUGAAAUUCUUGGAUUUAUUGAAGACGAACUACUGCGAAAGCAUUUGCCAAGGACGCUUUCAUUGAUCAAGAACGAAGGUCGGGGGAUCGAAAACGAUUAGAUACCGUUGUAGUCUCGACAGUAAACUAUGCCAAUGGGGGAUCGGUUUUGGUAUUAUUUAAUGACCAAAUCGGCACCCAAAGAGAAAUCUUGAAUGCGGUUCGUGGGGGAGUACGGUCACAAGGCUGAAACUUAAAGGAAUUGACGGAAGGGCACCACCAGGAGUGGAGCCUGCGGCUUAAUUUGACUCAACACGGGGAAACUCACCAGGUCCAGACACAAUAAGGAUUGACAGAUUGAUAGCUCUUUCUUGAUCUUGUGGUUGGUGGUGCAUGGCCGUUCUUAGUUGGUGGAGUGAUUUGUCUGCUUAAUUGCGAUAACGAACGAGACCUUAACCUGCUAAAUAGCCCGGUCGACUUUGGUUGAUCGCUGGCUUCUUAGAGGGACUAUCGACGUUUAGUCGAUGGAAGUUUGAGGCAAUAACAGGUCUGUGAUGCCCUUAGAUGUUCUGGGCCGCACGCGCGCUACACUGACAGAGCCAGCGAGUACUUUCCUUGGCCGGAAGGCCUGGGUAAUCUUGUGAAACUCUGUCGUGAUGGGGAUAGAGCAUUGCAAU